rnacentral:lncRNA from 1 species
UGACGCAAACCGUAUUGAGUACCACAAGAAUGAGCUGACCAAGACUGAUCUGGACUUUCAAAAGUUUGGAGAUCUGCAAUUAAAAGAACAAGAUCUUACAGUUUUACAAGCUUCUACACUAUUUGAAUCCAUAAAUACAAGGACCACUAAUCAUCUCAUCGUUGGACUGCUUUCACACACUGGCUAG